rnacentral:rRNA from 1 species
GGAUCAUUACAGAGUGUUAAAACUCCCAAACCCGUGUGAACCUACCUCAUGUUGCUUCGGCGGCCUCGCCCCGGGUGCCCUUACGGCGCCCCGGAACCAGGCGACCGCCGGAGGACCUCAAACUCUUGUUUUAUUAGUAUCUUCUGAGUGGUUUAUUACAAAUAAAUCAAAACUUUCAACAACGGAUCUCUUGGUUCUGGCAUCGAUGAAGAACGCAGCGAAAUGCGAUAAGUAAUGUGAAUUGCAGAAUUCAGUGAAUCAUCGAAUCUUUGAACGCACAUUGCGCCCGCCAGUAUUCUGGCGGGCAUGCCUGUCCGAGCGUCAUUUCAACCCUCGAGAACCCUUUUACAGGGCGAUCGGUGUUGGGGAUCGACCACCCCUGGUGGCGGUCGUCCCCUAAAUCGAGUGGCGGUCUCGCUGUAGCCUCCUCUGCGCAGUAACUUGUUCUCGCAGGUGGAGAGCGGCGCGGCCACGCCGUAAAACCCCAACUUUCCAAGGUUGACCUCGGAUCAGGUAGGAAUACCCGCUGAACUUAAGCAUAUCAAUAAGCGGAGGAAAAGAAACCAACAGGGAUUGCCCCAGUAACGGCGAGUGAAGCGGCAACAGCUCAAAUUUGAAAUCUGGCGCAAGCCCGAAUUGUAAUUUGUAGAGGAUGUUUCUGGUGCGGUGCCUUCCGAGUUCCCUGGAACGGGACGCCAUAGAGGGUGAGAGCCCCGUACGGUCGCGCGCUAAGCCUCUGUGAAACUCCUUCGACGAGUCGAGUAGUUUGGGAAUGCUGCUCUAAAUGGGAGGUAUACGUCUUCUAAAGCUAAAUACCGGCCAGAGACCGAUAGCGCACAAGUAGAGUGAUCGAAAGAUGAAAAGCACUUUGAAAAGAGGGUUAAACAGUACGUGAAAUUGUUGAAAGGGAAGCGGUUACGACCAGACUUGGGCCCGGUUAAUCAUCCAGCGUUCUCGCUGGUGCACUUGGCCGGCCCAGGCCAGCAUCAGUUUGCCUUGGGGGAUAAAGGCUUCGGGAAUGUGGCUCCUUCGGGAGUGUUAUAGCCCGUUGUGUAAUACCCUGUGGCGGAC